rnacentral:rRNA from 1 species
UACGUAGGGUCCGAGCGUUAUCCGGAAUUAUUGGGCGUAAAGAGCUCGUAGGCGGUUUGUCGCGUCUGCCGUGAAAGUCCGGGGCUCAACUCCGGAUCUGCGGUGGGUACGGGCAGACUAGAGUGAUGUAGGGGAGACUGGAAUUCCUGGUGUAGCGGUGAAAUGCGCAGAUAUCAGGAGGAACACCGAUGGCGAAGGCAGGUCUCUGGGCAUUAACUGACGCUGAGGAGCGAAAGCAUGGGGGAGCGAACAGG